rnacentral:rRNA from 1 species
GAGUUUGAUCCUGGCUCAGGAUGAACGCUAGCGGGAGGCCUAACACAUGCAAGCCGAGCGGUAUAGAAUCUUCGGAUUUUAGAGAGCGGCGUACGGGUGCGGAACACGUGUGCAACCUACCUUUAUCUGGAGGAUAGCCUUUCGAAAGGAAGAUUAAUACUCCAUAAUAUAUUGAUUGGCAUCAAUUAAUAUUGAAAGCUCCGGCGGAUAGAGAUGGGCACGCGCAAGAUUAGUUAGUUGGUGAGGUAACGGCUCACCAAGACGAUGAUCUUUAGGGGGGCCUGAGAGGGUGAUCCCCACACUGGUACUGAGACACGGACCAGACUCCUACGGGAGGCAGCAGUGAGGAAUAUUGGACAAUGGGUGCAAGCCUGAUCCAGCCAUCCCGCGUGAAGGACGACUGCCUAUGGGUUGUAAACUUCUUUUGUAUAGGGAUAAACCUCUCCUCGUGAGGAGAGCUGAAGGUACUAUACGAAUAAGCACCGGCUAACUCCGUG